GAUAACCCAUAGAUAUGAAGCUGAAGCUCGUAGUUCAAAGGUACCGCCUUAGAUGGUCUGCGCCGAUAGGUUGUUUUGGGUAACGGCCCAACAAGCCUGUAAUCGGUACGGCUUGUGGGAGCAAGAGCCCGGAGAUGGAUUCUGAGACACGAAUCCAGGCCCUACGGGGCGCAGCAGGCGCGAAAACUUUACAAUGCGGGAAACCGUGAUAGGGGAACUCUGAGUGCCCGUUAAAUCGGGCUGUCCACCAGUUUAAACAACUGGUGAAGAAAGGGCCGGGCAAGACCGGUGCCAGCCGCCGCGGUAAUACCGGCGGCUCGAGUGGUGGCCACUAUUACUGGGCUUAAAGCGUUCGUAGCUGGUUUGUUAAGUCUCUGGGGAAAUCUUCCGGCUUAACCGGAAGGCGUCUCAGGGAUACUGGCAGACUAGGGACCGGGAGAGGUGAGGGGUACUCCAGGGGUAGGAGUGAAAUCCUGUAAUCCUUGGGGGACCACCUGUGGCGAAGGCGCCUCACCAGAACGGCUCCGACAGUGAGGGACGAAAGCUGGGGGAGCAAACCGGAUUAGAUACCCGGGUAGUCCCAGCCGUAAACGAUGUGCGUUAGGUGUAUCGGUGACCACGAGUCACCGAGGUGCCGAAGAGAAAUCGUGAAACGUACCGCCUGGGAAGUACGGUCGCAAGGCUGAAACUCAAAGGAAUUGACGG
rnacentral:rRNA from 1 species